GCACAACUCAUGGACCUGACCGGCGUCACCCUAAGGCACAGCUCAAGACCCACCCUGAAAGACUUUGCUAGAUGUUCCUUCCUCUCCAGGGGACACAAAAGUGCGUUGUAAUCCACGAUGCCCUCCACUCUCAGGGAAGCCUCUUGUUGGAACUUUUCCAGCAUGUUCAACUAAGAACAUCCAAUGAAGGUAUGAACAGAGGGGCAGGAGAGAGCACACCAGGCUGGAGCACAUGCUGGCCACAUAAAGCUUGGGGACCUUCACCGGCAUCCAGUGGCACUGCUAAUGUGAAUAGAGAAGGACACAGGCCUCAAGCAAUGCAAGGUCACACCCGGCGAUGCACAGGGGUUACUCCUGGCUCAUGCACUCAGGAAUCACCCCUGGCAGUGCUCAGGGGACCAUAUGGGAUGCUGGGAAUCGAACCCAGGUCGACCGCGUGCAAGGCAAACGCCCUACCCGCUGUGCUAUCGCUCCAGCCCCGGAAUUUGACAGGUGAAACAGAAAUUAUAUUUCUGGGGGAAAAUAAAAUCAGAGAGCUAGAAGAGAUAGCAAAUGGAUAGGAUGUUUUUAGUUCAAGCAGCUGAGCCUGGGUUAAUAUGCAAGAGCACACAGGUUUCCCCACCCCAGCACUGCCAGGAACCAUGUCUGAGCAAAGAGGCAAGAGUGAGCCCUCAGCACUUACCAGCUGUGGACCAAAAACUACAAUUAAUAAUAAUAAAAAUAUUGUGUGUGGGUUUCUUAUCUUGCACGUGUCUACCCAGCUUUAAUUGCCGGAAUCCCUUGUUUCCCUGAGCACCACCAGGAGUGAUCCCUCAGUGCAGAGGUAGGAAUAACCCCUGAAAAUUGCCAUGUGUUCCCUCACCCUAAUAAAAAAAACACUGUAAAUUAUAUAAGACAAAGAAAUAAAGGUGUGGUGACCAAUGGUCAUCAUAGAUUGCAUUAUGGUAUAUCUUGGGUUGCAUCCUGGAAGUGACCAGCCUAUUACCUGCUACAUUUGGUUGCACGGACCUCUCUGGUCCAACACAGCCCGGAUGCUACACCCCCUUCUGGCAGGGUCUCUUACAACUUCGCAUCUCCCAGGAUCCCAAAACCUACCGCAGGCGCAGGAACCCGGGAAAAUCAAACGGUCAGCCACACACUCCUGAGUCCCCGGCCAGUGCAGAGGGCAGUGCACUGGGAGAGCAUCUGCCGUGCACGGGGCUGACAGGACUGACCCUGACAUUCACAGGACCCUGAGUCCCGCCAGGAGAGUCCCCUAGUGCAGAGCCAGGAGUGACCCUCAAUGCUACGGGAUGUUGGACAAAGAUAAUGAAACAAAACAUUGUUUUUUAAUUAAAAUAAAAGAGAAUCGCCUUUCCCACCUCUUCCAGGGGAACCGACCCUUUGGCCCUGACUCAAUAAUCACCCCAAUGACAGAAGUGGCCCGCAAAGUACUGGCCCGGGAACAUUCCCGGGUGACCCCCCGCCCCAGCCUGUGACCCCCGGGGGCUCCGAGUGUCCCUGCAGGAACCAAUGGGGAGGCGGCCGCGCAUGCCCCGCAGACUUGCGGGGAAACUGAGGCUCCCUCUUGUCUCUCUUUCUCUGUGGUUGGGGCCUGAGCGACAGGGCAGCGGGGAGGGCGGGGCCUUGUCCGACACCCCAUGGGGUCCCCCGACCCGGGAGGAUCCUGAGCGCUGAGCCCGGAGUCGCCCCGAGCCCCGCCAGGCGCCGCCAGGCCUCCCCGGGACUCGCACCCCUCCGGCAGCCCUGAGGGAAGUUCCCUCAGAAUCCCCCGCGUCUCCCUGAAGGGCAGGAACGAACGGGACGAACCUCUGGAGGACGCUGCGGCCACCCGGUUGUGGUCCCCCUCCACCGGCUACUGAGCAACCCCGCCGGGACCCCCUGUCCACUCCAGCCCCACUCUUCAAGCUGCGACAAUGGUGCCCGACUGGAACCUCAGA